rnacentral:rRNA from 1 species
GAUGAACGCUGGCGGCGUGCUUAACACAUGCAAGUCGAACGGGAAACCUUUUAUUGAAGCUUCGGCAGAUUUAGCUGGGUUCUAGUGGCGGCCGGGUGAGUAACGCGUGGGUAACCUGCCUUAUACAGGGGGAUAACAACCAGAAAUGGUUGCUAAUACCGCAUAAGCGCACAGGACCGCAUGGUCCGGUGUGAAAAACUCUGGUGGUAUAAGAUGGACCCGCGUUGGAUUAGCUUGUUGGUAGGGUAACGGCCUACCAAGGCGACGAUCCAUAGCCGGCCUGAGAGAGUGAACGGCCACAUAGGGACUGAGACACGGCGCAGACUCCUGCGAGAGGCAGAAGUGGGGAAUAGUGCACAAUGGUGGAAACCCUAAUGCAGCGGCGCCGAGAGAAGGAAGAUGUAGCUCGGUAUGUAAACUUCUAUCAGCAGGGAAGAUAGAGGCUGCACCUGACGAAGAAGCCCCGGCUAACUACG